CCACGGGCGGCAGCAGUGGGGGAUAUUGGACAAUGGGGGCAACCCUGAUCCAGCGACGCCGCGUGAGUGAAGAAGUAUUUCGGUACGUAAAGCUCUAUCAGCAGGGAAGAAAGAAGACGGUACCUGACUAAGAAGCCCCGGCUAACUACGUGCCAGCAGCCGCGGUAAUACGUAGGGGGCAAGCGUUAUCCGGAAUUACUGGGUGUAAAGGGAGCGUAGACGGUUAAACAAGUCUGAAGUGAAAUGCCGGGGCUCAACCUCGGAGCUGCUUUGGAAACUGUAGAACUGGAGUGUCGGAGGGGUAAGCGGAAUUCCCAGUGUAGCGGUGAAAUGCGUAGAUAUUGGGAGGAACACCGGCGGCGAAGGCGGCUUACUGGACGACAACUGACGUUGAGGCUCGAAGGCGUGGGUAGCAAACAGGAUUAGAUACCCUUGUAGUC
rnacentral:rRNA from 1 species